UACGGAGGGUGCAAGCGUUAUCCGGAUUCACUGGGUUUAAAGGGUGCGUAGGCGGGCAGGUAAGUCCGUGGUGAAAUCUCUGAGCUUAACUCAGAAACUGCCAUGGAUACUAUUUGUCUUGAAUAUUGUGGAGGUAAGCGGAAUAUGUCAUGUAGCGGUGAAAUGCUUAGAUAUGACAUAGAACACCAAUUGCGAAGGCAGCUUACUACACAGUUAUUGACGCUGAGGCACGAAAAGCGUGGGGGAUCAAACAGG
rnacentral:rRNA from 1 species